GCAAGCCUAUAGAUCCUGUGUGCAGUCUGUGCUUGAAUAUGCAGAUGCAGUGUGGGAUCCUUAUACUGGCCCGAAUAUCAAAAUAGAAGCUGUUCACGCACAGGCAAUACGUUCAUUUUUAAAUAUAAUAUGGGCCAAAUACAUGUUAGUUAUCUGUUCACAGUAGCAGAAAUUGGCAUCGUGCACCAUCUGUCAUGCACUUGUAUGCAAAUUGUAACACAGGGGCAUAUCCAGUAUUUUCCUCUACGGAUUCUAGCCUCAGACACAAUGCUAGUCACAUGAUCACGUGUCAAUUUCAUUUCAUUUAUUUAACCCUUAAAGGCCCGAGGGCAUUACAUAAGGGGGGGAAUUAAACGCUUUGUCAAGACAGAAACAUAGCAGAGGGGCAGGAUAUCUGGACUCCCCCUUUAAAUCCACAUCUAAAGUAACAUGAUCAGAAAACACAUCCAUCUUUACCACAAAGUCGAUGCUACACCAAUCAGAAGCUACUAAAUUGGUAUAAUCCCAACAGGUGCCUUUUGCACUCAUUUCUCCCUUGCACCUUAUUCGCAUUGAAUGCCUUGCCUAAUAAAAUAGGUGCAUCAAUCUCAGUUGAUGCAUUUUGAAAAAGUUUUAAAUAGAAUAUGUUUGAUGAUAAAUGUGUUAUCGUGUUAAAGUAGUAAGGUAUAAUGUUAUGGUGGCUAUAUGCUACGCUAUUGUAUCGCAACCCUACAUCGCCAAGUAGGCUGUAGUAUUGGUAAAUAAAAGAAGGUCAAGUUAGUUCUGUCCAAAGCGUAAGGUGGCAACAGCACGUGACUUACGCACUGUGCAAUAGCACAGGACGUUCGUUAUAGGCCUGCAGUGGAACAUAUUGAAAACUAUCGCAUUAUCUUGUCAAUAAGACGACGCCCAAGGGAGAGAGCACUACAAACACAAAUAGGCGUACCAGAUAACAUAGACAGGCUAUAAUUGCAUAAGAUGCUUCACAGCGGUGCAAGUAAACGUCACCCAUCUACCAACCCACAAAAAGAAAGCGGACACAUGUCACAGCGGUGUGAACGCGGUAAUACCGUGAUAGCGGCAGCUCACCAUACCCACAAUCAACCAAAACAAAGCACAGGCGUAGAGCGCCAUGGCGCUUUGACGAAGUGUACACACAGAACCAGAACACACAGGCAGCUGAUAAUUGCAGAAUAUUGAAUCUUCACAGCGGUGCUAAGAGGUACAAGUAAACACCUUCACCCAUCUACCAACACACCAGCAAGAAAGCGGAUCCAUAACUUGCUACCUCCCUAUCCUUAAAGGGACUGUCGCAUCCGGAACCGUGGUUACGAAUCCAAUACCAAUGUGUUCGGUACACUACCACCGAGCUAUUUGCCAAAUUUUCUCCUUCCAAAACGGACCGGGUGAUGAGGAAUCGCAUUUAAAAGAUCCGGUUUCGUUUUGAUCCUCGAAAGCGCCAGCGCCAACAACAUCGCGUGACGCAAGGUGGAAUCUAGCUAAUCCGCUGUGAAGGACGCUGUCGUCUGCCGCCAAGUCUGGGGCUGCUUUGUUUUUUUCCGGCACGUCGCCCCUAUUCACAUGUCACACUUUCUAGUGACGCGGAUACUAUCUCUACGCUUGCAUCCUUCGCGUGAGAUGUCGUUUGGAAACCGACGCAGCGUUCCUGACUCCAGGAAAACUUCCUUCGAAAACCUCGAUGUUUGAUUUCGCACGCCAAGGAUACAGCUACAGCCAGACCCCAGACGAAGCGAAAGUUGGAAGCAGCUACAUCACUAGCGGGUAUCCAGAUGAAGCAAGGAGUGUUCAUGCUGUCCGUGUAUGCUCCUCGCAUUUCACCGAUAAUGUGUACCUGGAUGAGAACAUCAUGCAAGUGCAACUUGGAUUGACACAAAAAAGGAACGAAUUGAAACUUGACGCCGUUCCGACAGUGUUCCACGAACAAAGCGAGCCAGCAACUUCGACAAUCCCGAACUGCCCCAACGAUGUUCGUGACCAGGAGCGGAGGCCGCAUUGCGGACUUCUUGGAGGAGGUUGACCAGCUACCCCCCAGCGUGCGCGUCGUCGUCCUGCACUGUGGGACAAACGACAUGCCAUACAGCGACCCCGACUCGGCCAUCCGGCACUACGUGCAGCUUCUGGAUCACAUUCGUUCCCGCGGGAACAUCGAUCUUGUGGCGCCGUGAGUUCCAAUGUAACCCGCGGGCGUACGGCUUCAACAUGCGGCUGCGAGACCUGUGCAAGCGAUCGCCGGACCUCUACUUUCUGGACCACGGCUUUCAUCGACAACCCCCGACGAGAGUCCUAGCAGCCGACGGCCUGCACCCUAACUUCGAGGGAGUCCGGCAGAUAGCACACCGAGUGCGAACCCUACUGCCCCGGCUUCUACGUCGGCUGCCUGUCCACAAGGAAGGAGUCACCGGGACGCCUGAUCCAGUAUGGCCCACAAUCCAGGAAGCAGCAGCGAGCAGUCGGAGCCACGUCCACGUUCAGAAGACGUCUAAGAAGCAGGAUUGACUAACCGGUGAGUCUGAACCAAUUUAUCCCGGCGAAACUACUAGCAGUGACACUCAGGCGUUUUUCCAACUCAGAAAAAUCGCGGACAAAAUUGCGCGCUACUCCUCUCACCUUAAUACUCUUGUAACAUAUGAAAGGAGUGGAAAAUGCCCGCGAGGACUGCAGAUUCGUAAGAUAUCUACGUUCCCUCUUAACCAAAACCUUGAAAAAGAGUGGUUAUCAACCCUGCACAAUACGUCCCAAGCCCUAACCAAAAUACUAAUUAUGCAGUGUCAAGAUACAAUAAAUUCCCUGUCAGAGGAGGCAAACACCGUCUCAAACGAAACCACCUUAUCUGAGUCUCAUAGAGCAGAACUAGACGAGUUCUUUCAAAAGAAACGUGUGAGCCUAAAACUA